GGGCCCGCACAAGCGGUGGAGUAUGUGGUUUAAUUCGAUGCAACGCGAAGAACCUUACCAGGGUUUGACAUCCUGCGAAUCUCUUGGAAACAGGAGAGUGCCUUCGGGAACGCAGUGACAGGUGGUGCAUGGCUGUCGUCAGCUCGUGUCGUGAGAUGUUGGGUUAAGUCCCGCAACGAGCGCAACCCACGUCUUUAGUUGCCAGCAUUUAGUUGGGCACUCUAGAGAGACUGCCGGUGAUAAGCCGAGAGGAAGGUGGGGAUGACGUCAAGUCCUCAUGGCCCUUACGGGCUGGGCUACACACGUGCUACAAUGGUGGUGACAGUGGGCAGCGAGACGGCAACGUCGAGCUAAUCUCCAAAAGCCAUCUCAGUUCGGAUUGGGUCUGCAACUCGACCCCAUGAAGUUGGAAUCGCUAGUAAUCG
rnacentral:rRNA from 1 species